UUUUAGCCGGUGUGUUUAUCCGCCUUAUUAAUUCAGUCGAAAGCAUUAUAAAUGGUUUUUUCAUUAUCAAAUCGUUUGUUUAACAUCGAUGUUUACUGCCUGGAUGAUAACAAAUUAUUUUUUCAAAUGAAAACCAAGGCACUGGGAAGUGAACUUUUUGACUGCAUUUGCGACAUAUUGGGACUCGAAGAUAAAGAUUACUUUGGUCUCCAGUUUUUUGACCGAAAUGGAAUUUUGGUGUGGCUUGACAACGAGAAAACUUUAAAAAAACAGAUUUGUCAUUUGAAAAACCGAAAGCUACUUUUUAGAGUUAAAUUUUAUAUCCCGGAUCCUUCUUCUUUGGAAAAUGAAUUUACAAGGUCUAUCUUAAGAAUUCACUUUGAAGAUAUCUAUUUGCCCUUCAAAUAGCAAUAGAUUUAAAGGCUGGGUACAUUACUGGCAGUGACGAGGAAGUGGCUUUGCUGCUUUCAUAUAUUC